AACGAACGCUGGCGGCAUGCCUAACACAUGCAAGUCGAACGAAGCCUUCGGGCUUAGUGGCGCACGGGUGCGUAACGCGUGGGAAUCUGCCCUUGGGUUCGGAAUAACAGUUAGAAAUGACUGCUAAUACCGAAUGAUGUCUUCGGACCAAAGAUUUAUCGCCCAAGGAUGAGCCCGCGUCGGAUUAGCUAGUUGGUGAGGUAAAGGCUCACCAAGGCGACGAUCCGUAGCUGGUCUGAGAGGAUGAUCAGCCACACUGGGACUGAGACACGGCCCAGACUCCUACGGGAGGCAGCAGUGGGGAAUAUUGCGCAAUGGGCGAAAGCCUGACGCAGCGACGCCGCGUGGGUGAUGAGGGCCUCGGUCGUAAGACCUCGUCGCAGGGGAAGGAA
rnacentral:rRNA from 1 species